rnacentral:tRNA from 1 species
UAUUUUUAAUUUUAAUAAGAAUGGAUCUUAUUAGUUUAAAUAAAAUGUUAAAUUGUGGUUUUAAUGAUAUAGAAUAUAUAGG